AACAAGUCGGUGCUGGAGCUGCUAGGAAAGCUUGCGGCAUUUGGAGGGAUUGCCAAUGCCGAGCCGGGUGUGAUCGCGAAUUUUGAUUUUGCUAGAGGGGAUACGCACAAGGAGUGGAAGGAUUCCCUGCGCUAUACCUUCAAUGGCGAUGGAGAUGAUCCAGCCAGGGUCGAUGUAGAGCCAGAGACCCAGAGCUCCAGGCAGAAGAUCGCAGCGAAUUUGAGGACGCUACUCAGGAAGAAUCACGACUUGACAAGGUACCUCGCGAAUGCUCUCUUUUGUUCCUCCCAGGAGCUCCAGGAGCUAGCUCUAGACGCUCUCGCGGCAUUGCUAGCCUAUGAUCCCAGCCAUGGUGGUCUUCUCCCUGGUUACAAGAGCGUCAUCUAUGGAUUGUUCCAACUCCUCCGUACCUGCCAAGCUGAUCCACUAGGAAGCAAAGUGGCAGUAGUGCUGGAUCUUAUCUGCCGCAAGAAUCACCAGUACCUGGAAACGCUACUCGAUGGAAGCGGCAGUAGCAGUGACGACGUUAUAGCAGUUCUCAUGAGCGCGCUCUCCUUUGGUUUGGACCAUCACGAUGGCGAGAGGAGCAGGCAUGCAAUGUCGAUUCUGUGCAGCCUCCACGACCAGAAGCUGUUGAGCGAGGAGCAGGAGAAAGCGCUGGACAUCGCAAAGAUCGUGGACAUGGUGACCACUAUGACGAGCUCAAGACCAAGUGACCAUGGCUUGACUGGGGAGAGCUCGACCACCCAACCCAUGGAAGGGAUUGAUGUGGCAUUAGAAGUAGCCGAGCUUUGGGGUUUAGCUGCGCGGCCAUCACACUCCUCAUCAGCUGUUCCGACGGCAUCACGGAUUCACAAUCAACCAAGGUCGGAUUUGGCAGAUGAUCUCUUGGAGAAGAGCACGCUUCAUUGGCAAGACCCCCCAAAUUCCCCACAGAGGGAAACUAAACAGAUCAGGAUUCCAGAGAUGCCGCAGCACAGCAUUUCAUUCUAAAUCUUGCUAAAUCAAAA
rnacentral:lncRNA from 1 species